rnacentral:rRNA from 1 species
GACGUAGGGCGCGAGCGUUGUCCGGAUUUAUUGGGCGUAAAGAGCUCGUAGGCGGCUUGUCGCGUCGUCCGUGAAAACUUGGGGCUCAACCCCAAGCUUGCGGUCGAUACGGGCAGGCUAGAGUUCGGUAGGGGAGACUGGAAUUCCUGGUGUAGCGGUGAGAUGCGCAGAUAUCAGGAGGAACACCGGUGGCGAAGGCGGGUCUCUGGGCCGAUACUGACGCUGAGGAGCGAAAGCGUGGGGAGCGAACAGG